GGGUAAGAGGCUAGGCUGUAGGUAAAUUACUAUUUGGUCUUCUUUGAGCCAGUAAGUUAACACCACAGAAAAGCCUAGCUUGGCAUUUCCUGACUUGGAAGUGCUUUAAUUCGCUCCUUUCGGCAAAAUAUACCCAUGGGCUUUGCUCUGGGUUGGCCCUUUGUGAGGCAGAUGUGUGAUUCAAUGGGCUUUGACAGCGCUGCCUAGCCAAAAAAUAUCUUGCCAGGCCCAACAUUCCCACUCUGAAAUUUUUUUCUACUGGUUAACACAUUAUUUCCAGAAAGCUCUGUCAAAAUGUAGAUGCAUUACUGGAGAAAUAUGACACACGAGACAAACAGCAGAGAAAAAUGCAGCCAUCCACCCGACAGGCUGUGCUGUUUCAUGUUUUUGUUUUUUGGACUAGUCUGCCUGCCUGAAUUUCCCUGCUCUGUCUCCUCCAGGUGAGUAACUUCCUCUCUUCUUUUCAGAUUCACCUGGACAGAGUAGAAGCU
rnacentral:lncRNA from 1 species